UAUUCCACCUUAUUUUUGGUGGAAAAGUCCAAUUUUAAUGACACCAUUCUUCGAUGGGAGAGUUAUUAGCAUAAACUUAAGUCUGAGAUCAUUUUAAUGACGCUGAAUAAACUUACACCCCUCAGUCUUGCUUUGUGUGUUUUUCUGAGUCUCCUGUUGAGGUUUUUAGAAGACGUUCAGAUAAGUUUUAAGUGUUUUGUUCGCUGGGCUCUGAAGCGUGGAGGACCAAGGAAUGAAUGCUGCAAAUCUACAACUCGAUGCAAUCUGCAGGGUUUCCUUAGGUAGAAAACUUUUGAAAAUAAUUUCAAUAGUAAGCUGAACUUGAUGCAUUGAUUGAUGACAAUGAUCAAUUGGAAUCGAUGGAACUGAUCUGGAAUCUAUCUGGAUGAUUCAUUUGAACUGAUUAGAUUUUUCUUUAUAAACUGGAUAUUUUAUCUGUAAUUUUAAGUUUUCUAAUAUAUAUUUAAAGAUGGUUUGCUUGGUAUUUUGAUCCUGCAUUAAUUUAUUCUCUGGUUAUUUCUGCUGAGAGGAAGAGGAGGAAGAGGAGGAGCUGAUCUGUUCCUGAUCUCUAAGAGACUCAAACUUCCUCCUUCAGUUCAGUUCAACUCUCCAACAUUAACUCUGCUCAACAUGGACUAUUAUGGUCUGUCUCUGCUCAUCGCCUCUCUGGUAACAGGAGUCAGAUGCCAACAACUCACUGCACAUCAGAAUGAAGAGUUCGCUGUAGAAAACAGCAACGUUACUCUGUCCUACAAUUACUCCAAACAAGCAGACGGCAACGAUUAUUUCUUCUGGUAUCGUCAAUAUCCUGGAAAACCUCCACAGUUCCUGAUCUCCCAUUUAGGAACAGGAGUGCAAACAUCUCAGCAGCUUCCUCGUUUGUCCUUUAACAUGAAUGCUGAUAAAACCCGGAUGGAUCUGCUGAUCUCCUCUGCUGCAGUGACAGACUCUGCUGUGUACUACUGCGCUGUGAGGCCCACAGUGACAGGAAACACCAGAACCCUGUACAAAAACCUGCAGUACUCCACAGCAGCCACUAGAGGGCCUCACUCCCUGUUAAACCACUAAAACCUGCAGUACUC